rnacentral:rRNA from 1 species
CGUAGGGGGCAAGCGUUGUCCGGAUUUAUUGGGCGUAAAGAGCGUGUAGGCGGUCAUGUAGGUCCGUUGUGAAAACUCGAGGCUCAACCUCGAGACGCCGAUGGAAACCAUGUGGCUAGAGUCCGGAAGAGGAGAGUGGAAUUCCUGGUGUAGCGGUGAAAUGCGCAGAUAUCAGGAAGAACACCCGUGGCUAAGGCGGCUCUCUAGUACGGUACUGACGCUGAGACGCGAAAGCGUGGGGAGCAAACAGG